GACAGAGGGUGCAAACGUUGUUCGGAAUUACUGGGCGUAAAGCGUAGGUAGGCGGUCUACCAAGUCAGGGGUGAAAUCCCGAGGCUCAACCUCGGAAUUGCCUUUGAAACUGGUAGGCUAGAGAAUGUUAGAGGCAAGUGGAAUUCCUAGUGUAGGAGUGAAAUCCGUAGAUAUUAGGAGGAACAUCAAUGGCGAAGGCAGCUUGCUGGGACAUUACUGACGCUGAGCUACGAAAGCGUGGGGAGCAAACAGG
rnacentral:rRNA from 1 species